UGAGCACCACCGAGUCCCACCGAGUCCCUCUGAGGCCUUACUAAGUACUCGGGGAGGCCGAGGCACAAGAGAGGUCCCUUGCUACACCAGGUCACAUGGACCCAGGUUUGGAGGAACCAGGGCCUUCACAGGUCACUUGUCUGCCCUUUGCUGAUCUGCAAAGCUCUGAUGAGAAGGACUUUGUGCCUGGGAGUGUCAUCAGUCAGGGCCUCGGUCUCCGGUCUCCGGGAAGUCUGCCCACAGGUCAGACGGUGGAAAUCGAUGGGGGCAGGGCACACAGACUGAGAAAGGGACAGUUCCCUGUUGGCUGGUUCAGAGCUGCCCCGUGGUCCGUGGCUGGGCCCCAGUGGGGGCCCGGCGGAGGGAAGGUGCCUGGCUCCCAUCCUGGUGACGACAGCAAAACCUCGCAGGUGCAGAUAAUGACGUCACGUUAAGGCGUGGAACUCACAGCGGUGCCACAGGGCAGCUGGGUCCCUCCGCAUUGUACACUGAAGACACCAAGGGCCGGAAAUGAUCUCAUUCAGCUGAGGAUCUCCAAGAGGGAGCAAGACCCAGGCUGUCCGAGCCCAGAUCCAUUCUGCCAUCUGCACCGGCCCCAGGGCACCCCCAGAGGUGGGCUGCCGGGUCCGGAAGCCAGCGCUCCCCUAGCCCAAUAACCCAGCAGAUACAGGAACCCUGUGUUAGGGAUGAGUCUUGGCCCCGGCCCUGUGGGGUGGCAGUAGCAGGUGCAGACGCAGGAACCCAGAGGCGGCCUGGAGGGGCGUUUGGCUCGAGUCCGUCAGAUUCGUAAACAAGAAUAAAUGGCUUGGACGAAUGACUUGACCUCCGGACUGAACUUCCUCAUCUAUAAAAUGGGAAAGUGACGGCUAUCUCCGUGGGCCCUGGGGUGAGAAUCAGCAGGGCGCGUGCAGGACGUGCAGGGCCCGGACCUGAUAGGUGAGUCGCGGUCAGGAUUUGGUGACCACCUGCCUGAGGGCUCUGCCAAGGGUCACGUCCUCCAGGAAGCCUGCUUGGUGCCCACCUCACCGGCGAAGCCUCCCCCCGUGUAGCUUUCGUCUAGCGCAGCUCUGUCUACAAGGUGUCCCUCCCCUCGCCGGCCUGGCCGCUGCCCUCGGGCCUCUCAGAUGGCAGGCAGGGGGCCUAUGGUUUUGCUCCCUCCUGGGACCCUCAGGUCUCCCCUGGUCUCUGCCUUGUCCAGCUGAGUCCUUCCAGCUGGUUGAGGCAGCAAGGACCGGAGCCCAAGAAGUCCGCCGCCCCCCCCCCGACCCCCCCCCCGUCCC